AUGGAGCCUGUCUUCUCAGGGCUUCCUCCCACUCAUCUCACACAUACACACACACACACACACACACACACACACACACACGCCUUCCUCAGCGGUAUGGAGGUCACCCACCAUCUUAGAAUCUUCACCACCUUUUUUUUCUUCCCCCCACCAUUAACAGAUUUUAACAGUUUACAGGUAUACAGCUGUCGUCCCAACAAUCCCAUAAGGAUACCUGGUAUUAUCUCAGCUGAUUCUCACAGUAAACCCAUAAGCUGAUACCUGGACCGACUCAGGAAACAGAAGAGAGCUGGCUGUUAUAACAUUUACCAACAUACCCCUGCCCAAAGCCUUGCAAAGAAAAGAAAAAGACAAGCCAUGAUGAAAAACAGGGUGGUUUGAGUGGAAAAAGUCCUAGGAUGAAGAAUCAGAAAAUUCUACUUCUGGAUUCACCUGUGCCACUUAUUUGGGCCAGUAACUUAUCCUCGCUGAAUCUCAACUUGCUUGACUGUAAAAUGGGAAUGAUGCUACCUGUCCUACUUAACUUUAUAGUGUUGUUGUAAAAAUUAAAUGAAGUCAUGGCAUAAAAAUGCUUUGUAAAGUGUUUUCCUUUCCUAUUGGAACUGCUUAGGCUAUUAUUCGAUCCUAUCUUUACAGUUGCUUCACCCACUAUUUUGACCAAGAUGAAUAAAAGGUAAGUUACGGUUCUGUCCA
rnacentral:lncRNA from 1 species